UACGAGUUGAAAAAUACUGACAGAGAGCAGUGGACCAUAAUGGACUGUCUGCCUGUUUUGUUUGUUUGCUGCUUGCACAUUGGGUUAAAGGUAAAGGGGCACUGGAGUCACGGUGAUUUCCUGAAGGAGGAGGAAGAUGGAUCCUUCCUGUGGAAACAUCUGGGCACAGCUGGAGAGCAACAGUUCCAGCAACUGGAGCACGGGGGAGAGGAGCAGGGAAUCUCAGGCAGAGACGGUCAAGAGGGGCAGGGAACAUCCACGGGAUAAACACGGGCUUCACACGAAAGCAUUUAACCUCUCCUUAUAACUCUGGAGAACUGAGCGUGAGCAUAACCUGGAUGGGGGCCAUCUGAGAGCACA
rnacentral:lncRNA from 1 species